rnacentral:rRNA from 1 species
AGAGUUUGAUCCUGGCUCAGGACGAACGCUGGCGGCGUGCUUAACACAUGCAAGUCGAGCGGUAAGGCCUUUCGGGGUACACGAGCGGCGAACGGGUGAGUAACACGUGGGUGAUCUGCCCUGCACUUUGGGAUAAGCCUGGGAAACUGGGUCUAAUACCGGAUAUGACCACAUGCUGCAUGGUGUGUGGUGGAAAGAUUUAUCGGUGCAGGAUGGGCCCGCGGCCUACCAGCUUGUUGGUGGGGUAAUGGCCUACCAAGGCGACGACGGGUAGCCGACCUGAGAGGGUGACCGGCCACACUGGGACUGAGACACGGCCCAGACUCCUACGGGAGGCAGCAGUGGGGAAUAUUGCACAAUGGGCGGAAGCCUGAUGCAGCGACGCCGCGUGAGGGAUGAAGGCCUUCGGGUUGUAAACCUCUUUCAGCAGGGACGAAGCGUGAGUGACGGUACCUGCAGAAGAAGCACCGGCUAACUACGUGCCAGCAGCCGCGGUAAUACGUAGGGUGCGAGCGUUGUCCGGAAUUACUGGGCGUAAAGAGUUCGUAGGCGGUUUGUCGCGUCGUUUGUGAAAACCCGGGGCUCAACUUCGGGCUUGCAGGCGAUACGGGCAGACUUGACCCUUUCAGGGGAGACUGGAAUUCCUGGUGUAGCGGUGAAAUGCGCAGAUAUCAGGAGGAACACCGGUGGCGAAGGCGGGUCUCUGGGAAACAACUGACGCUGAGGAACGAAAGCGUGGGUAGCAAACAGGAUUAGAUACCCUGGUAGUCCACGCCGUAAACGGUGGGCGCUAGGUGUGGGUUCCUUCCACGGGAUCUGUGCCGUAGCUAACGCAUUAAGCGCCCGCAUGGAGUCGCAGAC